CCCCAUGAAAGUUGAAAAGUGACUGUAUUUAAAGUAUAGGGACUGAACCUAUAAUUUCACCAAUACGGGGAUGCCCUCAUGAAACCCCUCUAGUAAGGUGAAGAAUAUUAGAAUCUUCAACCUGUGGUGCUACUCACUGGUAUCUGAUAAUAGGAACAACACAACCAGUGGGGGCUUGCUUGAGCUAAUUUAAUAGAGAAGGGACUCCCCAGAAGAUCCCUGAGGGAGAGGUGUCUGGCCUUGGAAGAGUGGACCUCGCCUCCACAUUUGUAUCCUGGGACUUAACGCAGUGCUUUGAGAAUAGAUGGUGUUUAAUAAAUGUUUCUUGAAUUGACUUGAGUUGAACUGCUUCACAAUGACAGAAGCCCAAUAAUUGGCUGAGUCUCCAUAGUACCACAAGGCAAACACAGCUGACUCAACAAAACAACCGGAGAAAAUGGACUCUAUUUUUUUCCCCUGACGUUUCUGGCAGACUCAUUUAACUAAUGGCCUUCAUAUCUUGCUAACAGGCUCCUGACAGCACCUACCUCCAGGAUAUGCUACUCUUUUAAUUAUCCCUCAACUUUCUUAUUAAUGUGUGAAUUUUCAGUUUCUUCUCCUUCCCGUGUAGUUCAUCUCAUACUGAGUCAUAUUUUGUAUAGAAUUGCUUUCUCUUUGUUUCGAGCCCCUCAUACUGAAAACACUGAUGAAGAUUAAACUUGGGGGUAAAUCCUAGAAGCAUUUUA